AGUGAACGCUGGCGGUAGGCCUAACACAUGCAAGUCGAACGGCAGCACAGUAAGAGCUUGCUCUUACGGGUGGCGAGUGGCGGACGGGUGAGGAAUACAUGGAAUCUACUUUUUCGUGGGGGAUAACGUAGGGAAACUUACGCUAAUACCGCAUACGACCUACGGGUGAAAGCAGGGGAUCUUCGGACCUUGCGCGAUUGAAUGAGCCGAUGUCGGAUUAGCUAGUUGGCGGGGUAAAGGCCCACCAAGGCGACGAUCCGUAGCUGGUCUGAGAGGAUGAUCAGCCACACUGGAACUGAGACACGGUCCAGACUCCUACGGGAGGCAGCAGUGGGGAAUAUUGGACAAUGGGCGCAAGCCUGAUCCAGCCAUACCGCGUGGGUGAAGAAGGCCUUCGGGUUGUAAAGCCCUUUUGUUGGGAAAGAAAAGCAGCAGGUUAAUACCCCGCUGUUCUGACGGUACCCAAAGAAUAAGCACCGGCUAACUUCGUG
rnacentral:rRNA from 1 species